ensembl:lncRNA
GAGUAGAGGAGUGUUCGCUCUUCUCAGUCCACUGAGUGUUUCUGUGGAAGCUGAAGGAUCUCAGAUGGUUGUGCUGGGAAACUGUUCCGCGUCUGCUCUCAUCUGUCUGUCAGCGGAUGCUCAGGCGUUUGCUCUGAUUGUUCUGGAUUAUUGUGUUUGGCCGGAGGGAUGCAGUCCAGCCCCUAAAGUCAGAGACGUGACUCCUGGAGAGUGUGCUUCAGUUUCUCCUGAGGAGAGGAUACACCAGCCUUCAGAGCAGUGACAGACCUUCAUACACACACACACACACACACACACACACACACACACACACACACACACACUCACACUCACACACACACACACACACACAAACACACUCACACACACACACACACACUCCAUUCAGCUCAAGUCAGUCAGGCUGUUUGUUUCAUACCAGUGUGUGUGUGUGUGUGUGUGUGUGUGUGUGUGUGUGUGUUUAGCUAUUUUAAGCAUGUUUUGGGGACAUCCUCUUCUGUAAACACACCAUAAAAUAAAUAGAGGUUUGUGAGAUUUUUAUUGGUUAAAAUGCUGAACAUGUUCGUGUUUUCUUAUGGUAUUUAUUAUAACUAGUGGUAAGUAAAAACAGUAAGUCUGUGGAAUGUGUCCGCUGAUCUAAGACUGUCAACAUGACACAGAUAUAAUAUAUGAUGUUUACUCUGAUCAGCAGAGGUGAUUUAACAACUUCUUUUUUCUUUCCACAGUUAUAUAUAUUAAAUGUUUUAUUGUCUCUGUCUGGAUGUAAGUGAAGAAUUAUUUGUAAGUUUUGUUUUUUCAGGUUCUGAUGAUUAAUGUGUACACAUGCACCUCAUUAUUAAUGUGCUUUUCCAUUAAUGACUGCUGUCUGUUUCUGUUGAACUAUCGGUGUGUGUGCAUUCAUCUCUUCAAAGAUGUGUUCAAAUGUAUUAUUUUCUGGGCUGUUUCAAAUAUGAAAAAAUAUUGUUAACAUGUUUCUUUAUGCUCAAAGAAAUAUAGUGUCACAAAUCGACUGAUUUAACACAAAUGCCGACAUCUGUCUGCGUGUAGCUGUGUGUGUUUUUCUGACUGUGUGUGUGUUUGUGUUCUGAGAUCCAGAG